AUUUAAUGUGCAGAUUUGGGAGGGAUUUUUAAAAUUCAUAAUAAUGCCAGCAGAUUAGAAUUAUUUUUCCUUUCACAGUUUCUGAGCCAUGGACCAGCAGAGUAUCUGGUGCUGUUAGAGCCUGGAGAAGGAGGCAGGAGAUGGGAGCCUGUAGCCUCUCAGGUAUGAGAAGAUGUGUAUGUUCUUCCUGGAUCAUGCUGGGAAGUGGGACUGGAGCUGCUCUGCCAUUAUCCCCAGCCACCUGCUCCUUCCAGUCACCUGGGAGUGCUAAAAUCAUAGAGUCGAGGAUGACACCCUCACUCCCCUCACUUAAGGCAUGGCUGUGUCUACAGAGCAGAAUGAGCUCUAGAAGAAAAAGGAGGAUACAUUGUGAGGAGAAGUCCGAUGAAGCAUGUGGAAAAAGUUUAACCUCCACUAGUGCAAUCCUCUGCAUUUGCCAAUGGCCAGACCAAGACUCAGAGAGACAAUGAUUGGUUCAGACUCAAACUUCAGCAAAGCCAUAUCUGGAACUCGAUGACUGGGCUAGAAGUUUCUUAUAAACUUUGAAGCUCUCUGAAAUGUGUGCUCUAUAUCACCCAACCUGUCUGCUGGUCAGACAUGGAAUGGAUACCACAAUCUGAGUCAGAAGCCCUGAGUUCAAGCCCCUCCACUGUCACUAAGCAGCAUAUGAUGUGUGACAAGGUACUCGCUGUUGUAAGCCUCAGUCUCCUUAACUGGGAAGUGGAUGCUCCUACUUCCCAGCCUUGCUGGAUUAAAGGAGAUCAUGAUGCAGACACACUCUGUAGGUUGAGAAGCACUUAACAUCAUUAUUAUCAUUACCAUCAAAAUAUAUUCUAAGGGGAU
rnacentral:lncRNA from 1 species